GCCUGGAUAGCUCAGUUGGUUACAGCAUGGUGCUGAUAACACCAAGGUUGCAGGUUCAAUUCCCACAUUGGGUA